rnacentral:rRNA from 1 species
CCUACGGGAGGCAGCAGUGAGGAAUAUUGGUCAAUGGGCGCGAGCCUGAACCAGCCAAGUCGCGUGAGGGAGGACGGCCCUACGGGUUGUAAACCUCUUUUGCCGGGGAGCAACGGGCGUCACGUGUGGCGCCACUGAGAGUACCCGGAGAAAAAGCAUCGGCUAACUCCGUCCCAGCGGCCGCGGUAAUACGGAGGAUGCGAGCGUUAUCCGGAUUUAUUGGGUUAAAGGGGUGCGUAGGCGGUUGGUUAAGUCAGUGGGAAAGUUGAGGGCCCAAACCCCUUCCCGCCAUUGAAACUGGCGCUCUUGAGUGGAAGAGAAGUAGGCGGAAUGCGUGGUGUAGCGGUGAAAUGCAUAGAUAUCACGCAGAACCCCGAUUGCGAAGGCAGCAUGCCGGCUUCCGACUGACGCUGAAGCACGAAAGCGUGGGGAUCGAACAGGAUUAGAUACCCGAGUAGUC